UGUCCGGGAGAAUUUGGCUGCUGGAGCGAGUUAAAAGCCAUGAGUAUGAUUAUAUGCUGAGUCCUGGAGUCCUCCUAGCAAAUCAUUGAACCUGAGGAUGGCUUUGAGGAACACCCAACGCAAUGAUCCCACCCAGGAUACCACAUUACAUUGAGUUGUCCUAUCUCUUUAGUCUCCUCUGGUCUGCAGUUUCUCAGAAUUUUCUUGGUUUUGAUGACAUUGACAAUUUUCAGGUAUUUUGCAAAAUAUUCCUCAGUUGGGAUUUGUCUGAUAUUUUUUCUCAUGUUU